UGGAGGCAGGCCAUGGGGAAUUUUGGACAAUGGGGGCAACCCUGAUCCAGCAAUGCCGCGUGUGUGAAGAAGGCCUUCGGGUUGUAAAGCACUUUUGUCCGGAAAGAAAUGGCCCUGGCUAAUACCCGGGGUCGAUGACGGUACCGGAAGAAUAAGCACCGGCUAACUACGUGCCAGCAGCCGCGGUAAUACGUAGGGUGCGAGCGUUAAUCGGAAUUACUGGGCGUAAAGCGUGCGCAGGCGGUUUGAUAAGACAGGCGUGAAAUCCCCGGGCUCAACCUGGGAAUGGCGCUUGUGACUGUCAGGCUAGAGUGCGUCAGAGGGGGGUAGAAUUCCACGUGUAGCAGUGAAAUGCGUAGAGAUGUGGAGGAAUACCGAUGGCGAAGGCAGCCCCCUGGGACGUGACUGACGCUCAUGCACGAAGUCGGC
rnacentral:rRNA from 1 species